rnacentral:lncRNA from 1 species
ACAAGCUCCAAGGUAGUCGAUAAGAAUGAAAAUCCUUAUGACUACAUUGAGUGCAUAUACGAUAUAUACUCAAGAAAAUGGUAAAAUACCAUUUGACUCGAAAUAAUGAAACCUUCAAGCUAAUUGGUAGCUUAAGGUGACUACAAUCAAAGAGAAUGGUUGACUUUGAAGAAACCAUCGAUGUAAAAUAGUUUCAAUUCACAAUCGAUGUAAAAUGGUUUUAAUCACCCACUACCUCGCUAAAAGGAACCUAAUGGAUCGCACACCAUAAAAGGUGGAGAUUGAAGAUUAAACGG